GAGGCUUGUUCGUGGGACAUCGUCGAAGCUCAGUACCACGCGAGGUAUCCAAGCUGCAGUGAAACCCUCCGUGCUAGUGAGCCCCACCACAGUGACAGGAGGGAAGCUGGCUGUGGCCACUGUUCCCAAGCCCCGCGUGCAUUAGAGCCGCCUUGGCUUUCUGGCUGGAAGAUGAUUCCUGCAGCAGGAACAGGUUGCUGAUGAUGAGCAGCAGAGUCGUUGGAAGAUGCCUUCCUUGAGGAUUACACGUGGAGCAAGGCCAUCAGUCAAGGGGAGAGCUGGCUGGUGAAACUGUCUGACUUUCCCCCACCGGGGAAGUGGCUUCAAUGGCUCCAUCUCCCAGGAGAAGCAGUAGGAAAGAUGCCAGCGCCUUGCCAAGCAUGUCCUCAACUUUCUGGGCUAUCAUGAUCCUGGCUAGUCUCCUAAUCGCUUACUGCAAUUAUACUUAGGGAUAAUGGCUCCAUCCUAUGGUGGAAGAGAAACCUGCAUCAAAUCAAUUAGGUAGACACGGCUCAUUUGAGAAAUACCUUUUCAUUGUCCUGUUCUGGAGUUGCUUUCUGUCUAAAAGACACGGGCUACUAUGGUCUCCAGGUCUUAUUGUUUCCUGAUUUGUGACUGCCGGCAGGAAUGGCAAUUAACUGUGGCAGUCACCUGGCCACUUCUACAGCAGGAGCUACCAUAUCAUCAUGCACAGGAUACUGAACAGCUGUUAGAUGGCAAAUGGUCACUGCCCAUUUACAUUGGAUGCAAACAAGUCAGCUCUGAAUGAAAGCCUGCAGCUUCUGUUAUUGAUCUGUUAUCAUUCAACUUCAAAAGUGAAAAACGCAGAUUUUAAAGCUUUGAACUUGAUGGUCUCUAUAACAUACUAGUAACCUGUUAAUGUGAGUAGCAAAUUGACUCUGAGAUUGUCUAACCAGUUGUGUUGUAGUCUGUCCAGAUGAUGUAUUACAUAGAAGUCCUCAGCAUCAACAUAAGAAAUGUCUUCUUACUGCUUUGAAUAUUGGAUUCGACCCUUUCAGGCUAAGUAAGCACCAUUACAAUUUCUCAAAUGUGUUUGAAUUCUGGCAAUUCAUACUUCCAUUGUAAGUAGAACCACUGAUGUGGAUGAAUGACGGGAAGUAGGUUGGGAGGGGAAACUUGAAGAAAAUGGAUAUUUUCAAUUAAAUAUGUGGUAGAGGAGUAUUCCAUGUCUUUCAGCAGGACUGACAAGACAGAGCUUGAGACCUCUUUGACAAUUUUCUUUGUGCUGUUUAUGUAAUGUACUAUUUUUUUCGUACUGUAUACUAUGAAAAUAGUGAUUUUCAUUGCUAUUACUGGAGUAAGCCCCCCUGCUGCAGCUAAGGGCAUAAACAUAAGCUAGAUUAGAUCUUCUUUUACUGUGGUCCCAGUAAUCUUUUAGUUUUUCCUUACUGACACCAGUGAAGAAAUGGUAGAAAGUCCUUCACUGAGCUUAGCCCUUAGGAGUGGAUAUUUUCCCAUUCGUUCUCUGCUAGAAGGGGAUGGUAUGAAAUAUCUGUUUUUAAGAUGCAAUUUAGUGCUUUCUUAGAGAUUGCUCUAACCAUAAGGCUAUUACCUGAAAAAAAACCAUUGACAGCUAGUCUAGCAUCUGGCAUGUCAAAUAUUGUUCAUUAGAGGUGUGCCGUGAAUGUUGUCAAUAACUCAAAAAUGCACCUAAAUACUGUGCUUCAUAUAGAAGUGUUAGAUAUAUAGGCAAAUCCAAACAGGUUUGAUUAGCCACAGUCUUCCUGGUCUGCAUAUUCUUUGUUGCUAAAUUCAAACUAGAAUGUUUCCAUGCUUAGUCUCAUGUUAGAUCAGGUGUGUUGUUCCACUGCUGGGCUGGAAUCUAUUUAUUUUUUUCUGUGUUUAAAUCUAAGUUAGACUGCUUUUUGCACAGAUGGUUGGCAAAUUUGCUUAUUUUAGAUGUUUUGGAAUAUGCUUCCUGGAUAUGCUUUUAUGUUAGCCCUACAAAUAGGAAAAUGUUAUGUGGUGACUAUUUGAAAAUAUAUGAACUGUAUUUAGACUAUAUUUUCCAAUACUUUUGGUAUGGAGGUUUAUUUCAAAGACAUUGUGCAUGUUUUUAAAUAAAAGGACCGUUCAUGAAUAACAUGUUAAAUUUGUAGAUGGUUUUGCUUUUAUGUGAUGAUCUUUGGCUUUCUUCCAAAUUGUGUGGCCUGUGUAUUAUUUUGAUCUCUGACCAGACUGGUUCUCUGGAUGUCUUUCUUCAAACACUUGAUUGCUCUCAGAUAAGAGAAAAUCAUCUAAGUGGGGUGAGGAGUAUGACUAUUUUUAAAAGGGGUCUCUGAGCAACAGCCCCUCUGGUUUUCUCCUGAGUAGCAUCCAGUGACUCAAUAUCAUCUAUGCUUUUGCAUGUCCUAACACUUCACUUUGUUGUCUAUAGUAUAGUACAGCAAUAAGGAAAUUGCUUCUCUAGAAGAAAGUGUUAUUUAUUUUUACAAAUUAUAUGCUGCUGUUGGAGAAAACAUAAACCAUAUGUAGGGAGACCUCUAUCUUCAAUUUCUCUUGUUAGAAUGCCUUUCAAGGCACUCUAAAAACAAGGUUGGUGUGAUUUAUUUAUAGUUCUGAUGAUCUUUUUGAUUGUCGAUAUAUGUUUAUUAAUUUUGUGUUUUUCUGCCUCAUAAAAUCAUAGAAUGCUAUGUGAUGGAAGGGACCUUUAAUGGUCAGCUAGUCCCAAACCCCCUGCUAUGGUCAGGGAUACUUUCCACUUGACCAGGUUGCUGAGACCCCCAUCCAGCCUGACCUUGAGCAGUUCCAGGGAUGAGAACUUUUCUGAGCAACCUGUUCCAGUUCCUCAACACCUUCAAGUUAAAGAGGUUUAUUCUAAUAUCUAAUCUAAACCUCCCCUCUCAAUCUGAAGCUACUAGCACUUCAAAACAUUACCCCUUAUCACUAAGUGGCCCAGUGAAUGGUCCCACUCCUAGGCUGCCUCAUUCUCUUGCAGCCUGAGUUAACCCAUGCCUUUAUCUGACCCUUGACUAAAAGAAUCCUCCUCCACUGUUAUAUCCUGCUCUUCCAACAGGAGAGUGUUUUAACAGGGCAGGAUCUUAUGAAGUUUUUAGGAUCACAUACUUUUCAUAAUAAAGUAUCCUUCUGCCUUUGGCUGCAACUGAAAGUAGCAAUUUAUGCUAUGACCCCGUUGUUCAUUCUGGUAUUUCGAAGGUCUGGAACUGGGACUGUCUCUGGUUUGGUUUUGUUUGGAGGUUAAGUCCAGAACAUAGUUAAACAGAUGUGUUCUGUUUUUAUUUUCUGUACCAGAAACUGACUAAAAGCCCAGAGCAGAGUACCUAGGAGAUUGGCAGUGUUUCAAAUUGCAGGUUAUGUUGGUUGGGUUAAUUCCUAUUUUUUCAUCCAUUGUAGGGGAGAAUUUUACUGACCAACUUUAUUGAAGCACAGCUGUAGAACCUAAUGAUUCUGUUACAUGUCAUUUGAGAGAAAGGUCCUUAAAUCUUACAGAAAUGAGAAAUCACUAAAUAUGGAAAAUAAAAAUAAUAAUAAAACAAAAGGUAAAAUGGGAGUUCUUUAUGAGUUCUUGUUAAAGUUCUUGUUAGUCCCAGUAUAAUUUAUGGUGCUUUGACCUUUGCUCUUGGAACUCUUUUUUCUUCUGAUUAACUUAUAAUACUGAUCUUGACAAAUAUGUUCUAAGAGAUGAUACACUGACAAAUAGAGAUACCUUUAACCCUGAAUGCCUCUAUCACUUUUCAUAGUCUUGGAUGUCAAUAUUCCUUUUAGUGGAUAUUUAAAUUUUCCAUUGAACUAGACCAGUGCAAAGUUUGGCAGAACAUCUUAGCCAGAUGACAGAAGUGGGUUUAAGCUAAGCUGUUACACUGUUAAUUAAGUGGUUCAGUUGAAUGCAGAAAUGUUGAAAAGCAGUGGGAACAGUGGCUUCUGGAACUUCUGCCAGACCCACAGGAAGCCACAAAAGUGAUCAGGGGGCUAAAGCCUAUGAAGACCAGUAGAGAUUGGAAUUAUUCAGCCUGGGGAAAGGAAGGCUUAGGGAAGACCUUACUUACAAUCUUGCAGUAUUGUCAAGGGGGCUUGUGAGAAGGAUGGAGAGAGUCAUUUUACCAAAGCCUGUAGCAACAGGACAAAGGGCAAUAGUUUAAACUGAGAGUAGAUUCACAUGGGACAUAAGAAGUCUUACUGUGAGGGUGGUGAGACACUGACACAGCUUCCCAGAGAAGCUGUGGAU